CCUGUUCGAGCGUCAUUACAACCCUCAAGCUCUGCUUGGUAUUGGGCCUCACCACCCGGUGGGCUUUAAAAUCAGUGGCGGUGCAUCUGGCUUCAAGCAUAGUAAUACUUCUUGCUUCCGGAGUCCAGGCGGUCACUUGCCAGCAACACCCAAUUUUUCAGGUUGACCUCGGAUCAGGUAGGGAUACCCGCUGAACUUAA
rnacentral:misc_RNA from 1 species